rnacentral:rRNA from 1 species
GUAGGUGGCAAGCGUUGUCCGGAAUUAUUGGGCGUAAAGCGCGCGCAGGUGGUUCUUUAAGUCUGAUGUGAAAGCCCCCGGGCUCAACCGGGGAGGGUCAUUGGAAACUGGGGAACUUGAGUGCAGGAGAGGAAAGUGGAAUUCUACGUGUAGCGGUGAAAUGCGUAGAUAUGUGGAGGAACACCAGUGGCGAAGGCGACUUUCUGGCCUGUAACUGACACUGAGGCGCGAAAGCGUGGGGAGCAAACAGGAUUAGAUACCCUGGUAGUCCACGCCGUAAACGAUGAGUGCUAAGUGUUGGGGGGUUUCCGCCCCUCAGUGCUGCAGCUAACGCAUUAAGCACUCCGCCUGGGGAGUACGGUCGCAAAGACUG